rnacentral:rRNA from 1 species
GAUGAACGCUGGCGGCGUGCCUAAUACAUGCAAGUCGAGCGAACGGACGAGAAGCUUGCUUCUCUGAUGUUAGCGGCGGACGGGUGAGUAACACGUGGAUAACCUACCUAUAAGACUAGGAUAACUUCGGGAAACCGGAGCUAAUACCGGAUAAUAUUUUGAACCGCAUGGUUCAAAAGUGAAAGACGGUCUUGCUGUCACUUAUAGAUGGAUCCGCGCUGCAUUAGCUAGUUGGUAAGGUAACGGCUUACCAAGGCAACGAUGCAUAGCCGACCUGAGAGGGUGAUCGGCCACACUGGAACUGAGACACGGUCCAGACUCCUACGGGAGGCAGCAGUAGGGAAUCUUCCGCAAAGGGCGAAAGCCUGACGGAGCAACGCCGCGUGAGUGAUGAAGGUCUUCGGAUCGUAAAACUCUGUUAUUAGGGAAGAACAUAUGUGUAAGUAACUGUGCACAUCUUGACGGUACCUAAUCAGAAAGCCACGGCUAACUACGUG